AGUUACUGCCACCCUCUCCCAGGUCUAGAGAGGGGUACCCACGGUGGAGGGAGGUGGGAGGCCGAGACGGCCCCGGGGGUCGGCGGAGACCCAGCGGGAGCAGGGGGAAAUCGGAAGAGCUGGGGGCAUGGAGCGGGCGAGUUUGGAGCGGAAUGAGCCGGGAGCCCUACGUUGUGGAAGGAAGACAACAGUAUAGGACCAUCAGCAGGACCGGACAGAGAGGGGCACACCAGGCUGGCCUUGAACUCAGAAAUCCGCCUGCCUCUGACUCCCGAGUGCUGAGAUUAAAGGUGUGCACCACCACACCCGACAAGGAAGCCUGUUUUAAGAAGUGAUUCCAUGGAGGAGUUCUGCGGCGGCUCAGGGCUUGACUAAACAGUGGACCUCAGACAAGAGAGGCUAAACCAGGCUGCAGGUGACAGGAAGAAUUGAAUAAACUGAAAGCAAAGGGCAGCCUUCUAAUUACGCUUCGUGGCUAUGUGGACAACCUGGAGAAGUCUGGAAACGUGAGUGGUGCUAAUCCCCUUUGUAAUGAAAGGCCCGGGUAAAAACAGAUGGGGCAAGUAGGUGUAAUGGGUAUUUCAGGAGCUUGAAUCUGAUGUCACAGCUUGUCUGGAUGGGACGUGCAUCUACUUGCAGAGCUAUGUUCCCAUCUAGUGUAAUUGUGGGUGUUUUAAUUCAGGCGUCACCUCUAUUUUGUCCUCUCUCCACAGCUUUCCUCCUCCAUUUUACUACUUGAGGGAGCAGUGGGUGGGAUACUAGGCAAGUAGCUGCAAUGGCUGGUGCUUUAUGGUUCCCUGGCAUCCCCUGAAUCUGUUAACAUCCCAACCUUCUUGACAGCCAGCCCCACCCCAUCACAUUCUUACUCCUUCCCUUUCCAAGAAAGAAGCCAGAAGCCCGAAGCCAGCAGUAGAGCUCUGACUGGCUUGUAUGCCUAGAAAGGAAGGGCUCUUCUUUCGCCUCACGGGCACAAAUGGGACCCACGAGCGCCGAUUUCAGACUAUUCUGAUCCCUUCAAAAAGAAAGUUAGGAGUCCAGGCUACUGUGAGUGAAUUUGAUUCUAAUUGUUUCAGAGAAUAUGGAAUAAAAUAUCUCAUUUGCAGUUGUU
rnacentral:lncRNA from 1 species